GAUGAACGCUGGCGGCGUGCCUAACACAUGCAAGUCGAGCGAUUCUCUUCGGAGAAGAGCGGCGGACGGGUGAGUAACGCGUGGGUAACCUGCCCUGUACACACGGAUAACAUACCGAAAGGUAUGCUAAUACGAGAUAAUAUGCUUUUAUCGCAUGGUAGAAGUAUCAAAGCUUUUGCGGUACAGGAUGGACCCGCGUCUGAUUAGCUAGUUGGUAAGGUAACGGCUUACCAAGGCGACGAUCAGUAGCCGACCUGAGAGGGUGAUCGGCCACAUUGGAACUGAGACACGGUCCAAACUCCUACGGGAGGCAGCAGUGGGGAAUAUUGCACAAUGGGCGAAAGCCUGAUGCAGCAACGCCGCGUGAGCGAUGAAGGCCUUCGGUCGUAAGACUCUGUCUCAGAGAUAAUGACGGUACUUGAGGAGGAAGCCCCGGCGUAACUACGUGCCAGCAGCCGCGGUAAU
rnacentral:rRNA from 1 species